rnacentral:rRNA from 1 species
GUCUGCUUAACACAUGCAAGUCGAACGCAACCUUCGGGUUGAGUGGCGGACGGGUGAGUAACGCGUGAGAAUCUGCCUUGGGGUCGGGGACAACCACUGGAAACGGUGGCUAAUACCGGAUAAGCCUUUGGGUAAAAGAUUUAUUGCCCCAAGAGGAGCUCGCGUCUGAUUAGCUAGUUGGUGAGGUAAGAGCUCACCAAGGCAGCGAUCAGUAGCUGGUCUGAGAGGACGAUCAGCCACACUGGGACUGAGACACGGCCCAGACUCCUACGGGAGGCAGCAGUGGGGAAUUUUCCGCAAUGGGCGAAAGCCUGACGGAGCAAGACCGCGUGAGGGAGGAAGGCUCUUGGGUUGUAAACCUCUUUUCUCAGGGAAGAAGCUCUGACGGUACCUGAGGAAUCAGCCUCGGCUAACUCCGUGCCAGCAGCCGCGGUAAUACGGAGGAGGCAAGCGUUAUCCGGAAUUAUUGGGCGUAAAGCGUCCGCAGGUGGCGAUUCAAGUCUGCUGUCAAAGCACGGGGCUUAACUCCGUUAAGGCAGUGGAAACUGAAUAGCUAGAGUGCCGUAGGGGUAGAGGGAAUUCCCGGUGUAGCGGUGAAAUGCGUAGAGAUCGGGAAGAACAUCGGUGGCGAAAGCGCUCUACUGGACGGCAACUGACACUCAGGGACGAAAGCUAGGGGAGCGAAUGGGAUUAGAUACCCCAGUAGUCCUAGCUGUAAACGAUGGAUACUAGGUGU